rnacentral:rRNA from 1 species
AUUGAACGCUGGCGGCAGGCCUAACACAUGCAAGUCGAGCGAGCGGCGGACGGGAGAGUAAUGUAUGGGGAUCUGCCUGAUGGCGGGGGAUAACUACUGGAAACGGUAGCUAAUACCGCAUACCAUCAGAUGAACCCGUAUGGGAUUAGCUAGUAGGAAAGGUAACGUCUUACCAAGGCGACGAUCCCUAGCUGGUCUGAGAGGAUGAUCAGCCACACUGGGACUGAGACACGGCCCAGACUCCUACGGGAGGCAGCAGUGGGGAAUAUUGCACAAUGGGCGAAAGCCUGAUGCAGCCAUGCCGCGUGUAUGAAGAAGGCCUUCGGGUUGUAAAGUACUUUCAGUCGGGAGGCGUUACCGACAGAAGAAGCACCGGCUAACUCCGUGCCAGCAGCCGCGGUAAUUC